rnacentral:rRNA from 1 species
GAUGAACGCUGGCGGCGUGCCUAAUACAUGCAAGUCGAGCGAACAGAUGAAGUGCUUGCGCUUCUGACGUUAGCGGCGAACGGGUGAGUAACACGUAAGGAAUCUACCUAUAAGCGGGGGAUAACAUUCGGAAACGGGUGCUAAUACCGCAUAAUAUCUUCUUCCGCAUGGAAGAAGAUUGAAAGACGGCUCUGCUGUCACUUAUAGAUGACCUUGCGGUGCAUUAGUUAGUUGGUGGGGUAAUGGCUUACCAAGACGAUGAUGCAUAGCCGACCUGAGAGGGUGAUCGGCCACAUUGGGACUGAGACACGGCCCAAACUCCUACGGGAGGCAGCAGUAGGGAAUCUUCCGCAAUGGGCGAAAGCCUGACGGAGCAAUGCCGCGUGAGUGAAGAAGGCCUUCGGGUCGUAAAACCCUGUUAUAAGAGAAGAACAAAUUGUAGAGUAACUGCUACAGUCUUGACGGUAUCUUAUCAGAAAGCCACGGCUAACUACGUGCCAGCCGCCGCAUAA